rnacentral:hammerhead_ribozyme from 1 species
AUCAAACUGAUGAGUCGCAAAUAGAACGAAACGCGCGUCGUGGAU